UACGUAGGGACCAAGCGUUGUUCGGAUUUACUGGGCGUAAAGGGCGCGUAGGCGGCGUGACAAGUCACUUGUGAAAUCUCCGGGCUUAACUCGGAACGGUCAAGUGAUACUGUUGUGCUAGAGUACAGAAGGGGCAAUCGGAAUUCUUGGUGUAGCGGUGAAAUGCGCAGAUAUCAGGAGGAACACCGGUGGCGAAGGCGGGUCUCUGGGCCGAUACUGACGCUGAGGAGCGAAAGCGUGGGGAGCAAACAGG
rnacentral:rRNA from 1 species